rnacentral:rRNA from 1 species
AUUGAACGCUGGCGGCAGGCCUAACACAUUCAAGUCGAGCGGAUGAAGGGAGCUUGCUCCUGGAUUCAGCGGCGGACGGGUGAGUAAUGCCUAGGAAUCUUCCUGGUAGUGGGGGAUAACGUCCGGAAACGGGCGCUAAUACCGCAUACGUCCUGAGGGAGAAAGUGGGGGAUCUUCGGACCUCACGCUAUCAGAUGAGCCUAGGUCGGAUUAGCUAGUUGGUGGGGUAAAGGCCUACCAAGGCGACGAUCCGUAACUGGUCUGAGAGGAUGAUCAGUCACACUGGAACUGAGACACGGUCCAGACUCCUACGGGAGGCAGCAGUGGGGAAUAUUGGACAAUGGGCGAAAGCCUGAUCCAGCCAUGCCGCGUGUGUGAAGAAGGUCUUCGGAUUGUAAAGCACUUUAAGUUGGGAGGAAGGGCAGUAAGUUAAUACCUUGCUGUUUUGACGUUACCAACAGAAUAAGCACCGGCUAAAUUCGUG